rnacentral:rRNA from 1 species
UACGUAGGGGGCUAGCGUUGUCCGGAAUCAUUGGGCGUAAAGAGCGCGUAGGCGGCUCGUUAAGUGUGAAGUGAAAUCUCUAGGGCUCAACCCAGAAACUGCUUUACAUACUGGCGAGCUGGAGUGAUGCAGAGGUUUGUGGAAUUCCUGGUGUAACGGUGAAAUGUGUUGAUAUCAGGAGGAACACCCAUGGCGAAGGCAGCAAACUGGGCAUCAACUGACGCUGAGGCGCGAAAGCGUGGGUAGCAAACAGG